UGGCUAGCCUUGACUACAGGCUCAGGUGACAUCUUGCUCCAAGCCUUCUGGUCCCACCCUCAUCACCCAGGCCUUCCUGACUUUCUCUUCAUGUCAGUCCCAGUCAGAGGAUUUAAUGUCUACCUCCUGGUAGAUUUUGUGAGGGGAGAUGCUGUGAGCCCUCAGCACUGUGUUCAAAUCCCAUGACUACUAAGAAGGACAAAAUUUCCGUGGGAGAUACUGUAUAAAUGCGUGUGUUGGGUGAGUGGACAGAUGGACAGGGAAACAACAUGCAGGAGAAUAUGCUCUGACGGUCCACAGGAAGAAGAUGGAUGCACAGCAGAAACGAGAGCCCGGAACAACCCCCACGAGAUCCCAGGAACAGAUCCAUGGAGGACCCAGAAUGUACUGGGAAAGAAAGAAGGCUAUUCGAGCUCACCAGGCCUGCUAAAACGGAGGACCACAGGCUGUCAGUGACAGAAGAAAUCAGUUUCCUCCAGGUCUGGAGGCUGCCAUCCACGGUCAAGAGAGGGCAGGCUGAUGUCUUCGGAGGCCUUCUUUCCUGGGCUUAGCGAUGGCUAUCUCCUUCCUGUGCCUUCCCACUGCCCCCUCAACCCCCACUGUAAAUAUUGUGUCCUAAAUUCCUCUUCUUCUAAAGACACAGUCUUACUGGAUUAAGGCCUCAACGCCCUCUUUUUACUUCACCGCUAUAAAAGCUGAGCCCAGAUAGAAGUCCUGAG
rnacentral:lncRNA from 1 species